rnacentral:lncRNA from 1 species
CCAGCCAGUUCUCUCUCUUCAGAAGCAGAGGAGCUGAAGCCCAUCCUGGUGACCCUGGAUUACAUCCAGUUAGACACAGACAAGCCAGCCCCACCUGCCACCCGAGAGCUGCAGGUGGGCUGCAUCCGGACCACCCAGCUGUCCCCAAAGAAGGUGACCACAACUGCCCAGGCCCACGCAGCCCCUCUGCAGCACUCCCUGCCUGGGCAGCCUGGGCCACUGCCGGCCUGGCCCCUGGAUAGAUAUGGGCUGGGUAGCCUGCUGGUCAGGGCUGAGAGGGCAGGUGGAGUCGGCUACCCUCGAGCCCAGUCCCACUGCUUCCUGGGAGCUGUGCCUGGCCUGCCAGCCCUACCUGCAGCUCCAGUGUCCCGCAGACUGUCGAGUUCAGCCUGGACGGCGGCACGUCUCUGCAGCACAAGGGCUUCACCAUCGAGCCCUCCAGGGGCUCUGUGGAGCGUGGCCAGACCAAGACUCUCACCAUCUCCUGGAUGCCGCCUGCCGAUUUCGACCCAGAUCAUCCGCUCAUGGUGUCAGCCCUGCUGCAGCUCAAGGGGGACGUGAAGGAGACUUACAAGGUCCUCUUUGUGGCCCAGGUGGUGACCAGCCCCUGAGGCCACAGGAGUCUCUCCAGAGCUCCCUCAAACCCUCUGCUCACCCUUGAAGCCCUCCCCUGGUCUGUAAACCAGGAUAAACCACCCACAGGCUUGGGACCUGGGCACCCCCGCUGGGCAGGUUCAAAUGUGCAGCCCUCUGAGUGACCCCAGGGCACCCCAGCCCCCCAGGCAUGGCCACUUCCUGCUGCCCCGGACCCAGUGAGUCCAGAGGCCGGAGAGCACCCCCUCCCCGGCCCCACUCAGAACCAGCAAUAAGGCGAGUCCUACCCACAACCCUCUCUUACUCUGAGCCCCUCAGAACCCCCAGCCCCACCAGUACCCACCUGCCCAGCCUUUAGAAGCCCUGGUGGGGGGAAGAGCUGCCCCCACAGGUCUGUCAAUAAACCUUCUGGGCUUCUUCA